AGCGAUUCCAACUUCGGGCAUGUUCGGGGAGAGGAACUGAUCGGGGCUCGGUGAGUCCGUGGGCUUCCCGGGCGCUAGUGUUGUUUACGGCGGCGCCGGUUGACGACGCUUGCAGUUCGCGCCCGGGCGUCGUGCGGCGCGCAAGCGGGUGGGAGCAUCGGGCGUCUGUUCCAGGGCGUCGCGACGCUCACGCCGUGGGGGUCUGCCGAGUGCGCCCUCUCAGUGAGACCUCCGCCGCUGCUGCCGGGCCGUGCCAGCACGUCGGCCAUUAGUUGUCCUGUGCACGACGAGAAGACUGCGCGCCAGUCCAGAGGCGACACCGCGCUAGAAGCACCGGCGAGCGUCGCGCUUAUCAUCCCGCCUCACCGACACACGUACACCACUGACGAGGCGAGGCCCCUUAACUGUUCGACACGAGAACUCGCUGCAUGCUUCCAGCAGGUCGUGUUAUCCGAGUCCAAAGCCGAACGCCCCACUUGCAUAGGUGGCUGUGAACCCUACAUUUCCGGAAAGCGGUGAGUGAACAUAUUUUUACCUUCAUUUUUUUAAAGAUAAGCUGCCCUUUAUUUCCGGUACGUGAAUGUACGCGCAGUGCAAUUCGGGAACGACAUACGCGGGGGCUGCAGUCCGCUCGCUUAAACCGCGCGUGACGUGGUUUUAGCAGCUGGGUGGACGGACGUGUCGGGGAAAUUGGGGUUUCUCGCGCGCGCGCGAAGGAAUUGGACGCACCUCUCGAGAUGAAUGGGGCGCGCUCGAUAAUCGAUUGCCUACCCCCCACUCCCUUUUCCCCUCCCCUCCCCUCCUCCGAGGUGGCUAGCUUGGGUCUGCAACCCUCGGAUCCCUCAGGGAAUCCCAACCACUUUCCAAGUUACCUUGUUAACUUUACUUUGUACUGCGAGACAUUCAUUCCAGGGUAUUUACGUUCACCCUUGCGUGCUUCUUAAAAAACUAUCCUCGUCGGAAACACAACCGGGGGAAGAAAAAAAAAUCGAAGACUUUAAAUGACCUUUUUUUCUCGAUAACAGAUUUGUGGUAACACUGAUUUGUGAUUUUUUUGACCUCUUAUUAAUGUUAUAAGAUUUAGAUACCUCAGGGAUAGCAGCGUAAUUCUUUUUGAGAGUUCAUAUCGACAGAAGAGAUUGCGACCUCGAUGUUGGAUUAAGAUUAUAAAUAGGUGUAGGUGCUUAUUAGUUAAGUUUGUUCGACUUUUGAAACCUUACAUGAUCUGAGUUCUAACAAUAAACUACGAUAUU